rnacentral:lncRNA from 1 species
GAUGAUUGCGUGGUCUAAUUGUCUUAAUGAGAUACAUGCGAAGCGGUCGUCGUCCCUGCUGGUGCUAAUUGAUCAAUCGGCUGUCGGCUGACAAUCAUUUUGGAAUUGAUUUCAGCCCGUACGAGUUCCUUCAACUCCAGCAGCUAGACAGUUCAAUCCAUCACCCAAAAUGUAAGUAAACAUCACAUCACAUCACUUGUAUUAAUUUACCACCCCGAUCAUGCUAUUAAUUAUUUUAUUUUAUUACUAGUUGUAGUAUAAUUUUCUUUGUCUGGGUGGAUUUGGUGUUAGUGUUCGAUCCCAAUUGCAAUAUACAUACCUAACAUAUCUUCUCUUAAGUGAGACUAAAUAGCUCUUUUUGAUUAAUUGUAUGGUAAGCAAGUAUACUAGUAUAUUCUUUUAAUUGGGUGUUAAUAAUUAAUAUAUUCGGAGUUGAGGCACGCACGCACCGUUUGAUCUUCCUGGAAUGGGAGUGCCCAGUUACUGGGUAUGGAUGGACAGGAAAGCUAGUGGUGUUACGAGGUACAGGGAGAAGAGAAAGAAUAGCAGGUUCCAAAAGGCCUCUAGAAAGGCCUUUGCAAAGUGAACGGAGAAUACUCAUCACCCGGAUGUAGAUGUGUGCUUCACAUCUCCUGCCACCAGGAGGGGCGGACCUAACCGGAGGGAAAUAAAAUACUAUAAUUCUACGAGUUUUUCGUACACUAGUAGUGACUAUUGGAGUACUUAAUUAACUUCAAGACCAUACACUUUUUACGAGUUAUGCUACUGGUGUUUCUGCGGUACCCCUCGUCCAGCCGGGCCAAUUAAUUAAUUAAUUAGCAUUUUAAUAAGGGCUUUGUUGUAACUGUGUCGUUAAAAUUUAUUUCCCUUCAACGAUACCACUAUUGAGUCCAUCUGAUCUCACAAAGAAAAAUGUCACUACUCUGAUUCUAGUUUUAUGCCUUUUCUGUUUUGGAUUGCUCCUCCCUCCUGACGGUUAAUUUAGCUCAUAUAUAGUUUCUUUUCAACUCUUUCACGAUAAUUCUUAAUAAUAAUAAUAAGGUUCUUAAUAUCCUUUUUCUUUCUUUGUUUUGGUUAGACUAGGUACAAAAUAUUAGAGAUAAGUUGGCAUAAUAAUGAAAAUAAAAAGAAGAUAAUGGGAAAUAAAAUGCAACAUAUAAUAUAUCCACUCUUUAUCUAGUACUCUAGACUCUAAAUGUCCUCCAAAACUAUAUCUGAUGUAAAAUCAUAUCUGAAAACAAAAGAGGAAUCUUCCAUCUCCUCUGCUGUAAACUUGGGUAGUCUCCAGCUCUGUGCAGCUUCAGAGUCAUGACCAUAUGUUAAUAUCUCUAACACCUACACCCAAAAACAUAUUUAAGUUUUCAUACUAAAAUUCAAACAUGUCAAUAUAACUUCUAAAAUUUAUACAGGCACUCCAAAAAUUAUACUCCACUUUGACAGUAUUAUGAGAAAUGGAAUUUUGGAAUUUCAAUAGCAUUAACCUAAAGGUAAAAUGAUACAGACUAACAUAGUUUUUGGGUAGUUAAAAAUUGUACCUCAGCCAUCGAGGGGCGCCAUAUUGAGGAUUGUCUCACACAAUAGGAAGCUGUGAGAACUAAUCUAUUCAUUUGAUCCAUGUCAUAUUUACGUUCCAAGUUUGAAUCAGCUAGUUCGGCAAUGUUUCCCGAUUCCAUUAAAGGCUUCGCCUAUAUAUGAAACACAUUAAUCUGUCAAUAGGAUAAUACAGAAGACUGCUAUUUUCUUGUUUAAAGGCAUCUUAAGUUCUUAACCAAUGGAGUGGAGCAUAAGAGCUUUGUACUUAAUUACCCAGAGGAGAAGAUUUUGUUGUGAUGAAUCAACAGGUCUUCUGCCUGUUAUGAUCUCCAAAAGAAGAAUUCCAAAUGCAAAAACAUCGGUUUUCUCAUCAACUAUACCAUGCAUGAAGUACUCUGGUGCUAAGUAUCCAAAUGUACCCUCAAUCGGAAUCACUGCAUGGUGAGUCCAUUUGCUUGGCAGCCAUUUUGCGAGCCCAAAAUCUGAAAUCUGCACAAAUAAAAAAAAUUCCGAAUGAACUGAAAUACAUCAAGAACUCAUAUGUGACCCAGAAAUAAAAGAAAUCAUUUGCUGCUUCACCUGUGGUUCGUAUUCUGGACCUAGAAGAACAUUUGAGGCUUUAAUGUCACGGUGUAUGAUUCUGUGUUUACAACACUUGUGAAGGUAAUGCAGACCUCUUGCAAUCCCAAGGGCAAUUUUAUAUCUGACUGGCCAUUUGAGUGAUUCCCCUGUCUUACCUGCUAUAAUACAAGCAUUAUUUUUCCAAGUUCUUAUGUUUUGGUUGAUAACUAGAUAUGGUCAGCUAGAUAAUUCAGAAUUUACAUAAGCUUCUGUUUUAUUUUGCUCCUCCUAUUCAUUUAUCAUAUGUUCAACUUAUCCAUGAAUCUUGACUGUAUUCUUUUAUAUCCUCUUUUUAAAAAUGAAACUCAGAAUCAUUGAACGAUGCAGAAUAUGAUAAUCUUACCAUGCAAUGCAGAUGACAGAGUUCCAUUAGGAUAGAAAUUGAAGAUGAGAUAUAGACCAUUUUCGAUGCAGCAACCAACUAAGCUUGCUGUAUUAGGAUGAUUAACAUGUCCUAUUAUCCCCAACUCCAUAAGGAACUCUUUCUCCUUGUUUUCAUCAGUGUUGUCCUUGGCUAAUCUCUUCACUGCUAUGGUAUUUCCAUCACAAAGAUCACCUCUAUAUACCUCUGAGUACCCUCCUACACCUACAAUAUACUCUGCAUCCAAAAUAACCAUGCGCCCUUUUAAAUUAUGAUUCACAUUUUGUCUAAAUAAGUUACUAAGAGGACAUUAGUUUUAUCAUGAUUAAUAUACCAGGGUUGAAAUUAUUUGUAGCAUUUGCAAUUUCUUCGUAGCUAAAGCACCUCAACAAAGGUUGUUGCUUCUCUUUUGUCGGAAAAGCUUCAUUCCUCUUUCUUUCGCUUACAGUAAAUGGGGAUCUUAAGAAAGAGGCGAUACGCUUUAAUGGUGACAUUUUCUUCCUGUAAUGAGACUGCCCAUUUGAUGAAAGAGGCAGGGGAGGAGACCCUGUGGUGCUUGAUUCCCCAAUACUAGAGCUGUCUUCUUCUGUGCUUAGUGAUUCACCUUCACAUGAAUCUAGCACUGUUUUUGGUGAAGACUCUACUCUCUUUUCUUCCAAGGUAGAGUUACUAAUAUGAGUGCUCUUUUCGGACCACCUUGAACUUAAUUUUUGAAAUUCUAGCACACGAAAUAUUUGUUAAUAAGAAGACACCAAAGAAAAUAAAAAUCUGAUUGUUUUCAUGAAAUAUUUGAUUGAAACUAACCUUCCUUAUGCAUGAAGUCGGAGUGAAAAUUUUGUUGUGGCUGCUCACGUCUCCCAACAAGGACUAAUGAACAGCCUUUAGGAGCAUUAUCAAAACAGUAUCUUGUAGUUUCUUGUGGAGCUCUAAUCACCAGAAAGGCAUUGAAAUGUGAAUUAGGAAAGGGCUGAAUUAAGGGAAAUACUCUGUUUUGCAUGGAACAAUUUCUCACCUAUUUGACCGGUUCCUGGAGCUGCCAAUCAGAAGAAACUCUGAUGAGAUGCCUUGUGCUUCCUCGAUCAGACCUCUUCCAAUGCUAGAACUAAAGCCCACUUUAGCCUCCAAAUUUACCUGAAAAAUGUGAGGUGUUACAAACAAUUUAGACUUCAUAGUUCUUACAUUAAUUUACAUGUAAAUGGUAAAGCUUAUCUAAUUUAACAACACCAUAGAAUGUUCAAAAAUACCUGCUUAGACUGGCAGGUCUUGGCAAAUUCUCCCAUUACAGAUAUAACAAAGGCUUUUGCUCUACGUGUUUGUGUUUGAUAUGUUUCAAAUGUCUUCCACUUCUUAAUCUCCUGUUUUCUUUGAUAAUCGCGCUUCUUCAGUGCUUCUGCCACUGUUUUAUGUACAAGCAUGAAAUAAAAGGUAGUGGUAAAUUAUAUGAACGAACUACAUGGUGGUGAAAAAACAAAAUGUUAAGUAGUCAACGCAUACUAACCAAGAACGUGUAGAGCAAUGACUGUGUCAUUUGGAUGGGCUAAAUUUUUAAUCGCCCACGAGAGGAGCUCUGUGCUAUCUUCCGCAUCUAAUGAGAUGCCUAGGAGUAUUUUAGCUGGAGCUGAAGGGGUCAUUCUUUUUGAUUUUGAGCUUUGAAUGUUGUAGUUGUUGUUUCUUUUUCCACAAUGUCAAAGAGAGACCGAGCUUAAGGAUAGAUAUAUGUAUAGGAGCAAAAGAUAUGAUAAUUAAUCUAGUAUUGUGGGCAAGGCCACUUGGCUUUCAUUAAAAAAGUCUUGAUUGAGAAGCAUAAAAAGCAAUUACGGUGGCAAGUAGAGAAGUGACUAGAGAUUACUAUAUAUUCUGUCUUUAGUACUUUUGGAAUACAAUUUAAGUGUUGUGGUUGGGUGAUUUGGGGAAUAAGCAAAGGAGGUGGCAUCAUCAUGCGAUGAUGAUUUAUGUCUUGUUAUGUAAGGCAAAUUAAUUGAAGCCUCCAUACUCCAAAGUGCUAGCUUCUUUGUUGAGUUUGGUAGGAGGGGGAGAGGGCUAUAACUCUUUGCCACACUCUUGGAUACUCCUUCACUUUAUCAUCAACGAAACGUUGAAUGGACACUAACCCUCCCCUCCCAAAAAUCUCUCUCUUAAAAAACUAAAAGCUUGGGAGUUGGGACAUGCUUUGUCUUAAAAUCUAAAUAUUCGAUAGCAAUGUAAUUAAUUGAAUUGAAUCACCUCACAUGCAUGUGCACAAAAUAUAGUUAGAUGAAGUGAGCUGUAAAAUAUUUUAUUUUGGUGUACUCGCUUUUUUUCUUCGCAUAAUGUUGUGUUUGAAUUGCAGAAAGUAAAGGGGGAAUGAAAAAAAAUGUGUUCUACCAAUUUGAUGGUAUUCAUUCCUAAUAAGGAAUAGGGAUGUGGAAUGACACAUUCCAAUUUCCAAUCAUCAAGAGAAGUACAUAACAUAUGGUUGUAGAGAGUGAAUUAUUCCAUGUGAACGACUUUCUAUGUAGAUGUUGGAACAUAAUUUAGAGGACAAAAAUUAUUCAGUAAUACAAUCGAAACCUAAAUAUGGUAUUUUAGAAAUAUACACAAAAAAUAUGUUUACUAAAUCUUUUAUUUUUCGAGUUCAUUUAAUCAGGACAAGCAAAGCAAGGGUGCUUCAAUCCAACAAUUCCGCUAGUCCAUUCGUUCUAAAGAGAGUUUUUAAGCGUUGAAGUUGAUCUUCUAUGAGAGAGAGUACACAGCAUAGCAAGGAUUAUGACGAACGAGAAUAAUCUAGUUAACAGAAUAACUAUGGAUGUAAUGUAAAAUUUUCAAUAUUCAGAUGAUAUGUAAUGUGGGCAUAUAUACUUAACAAGAACAUAUGUUAAUAACUCAAGUCACACUUCCAUCUCAAACAAGAAUACAUUAAACUAGCAAUGCCUUGAAUAGAUUAAUUAAUUCCAUGUUUGUCUCACACACCCUUUUCUAAUUGACUGUAUCAGUUUUAAGUAAUGUGCAUAUGUAUGUAUAGCUUAUUAACACCACAAUUUCAAAAGAAAAAUAAAACAUGAAAACAUCUGAUCACUUCAAUCCGUAAUAUAACUAACUAUACCAUUGCACCAUGAUUUCAGAAACUUUUUCAACCUAUAAAUUUUGCCCCUCCAUUCUCCAUUAAUAUAUGCGCCUAUAAGGAUCUUCCAUCCUCUGCACAUCCAUGGCCCCAAACACACCAUAUGCACUACUUUCAUCAUGAUAAACUCCACCACCACCACCCUCCUCCUCCUC